CCUACGGGAGGCAGCAGUGAGGAAUAUUGGUCAAUGGACGGAAGUCUGAACCAGCCAUGCCGCGUGCAGGAAGACGGCCCUAUGAGUUGUAAACUGCUUUUGUACAAGGGUAAACCUGAAGACGUGUAUCCAGCUGAAAGUACUGUACGAAUAAGGAUCGGCUAACCCAGUGCCAGCAGACGCGGUAAUACGGAGGAUCCAAGCGUUAUCCGGAUUUAUUGGGGUUAAAGGGUGAGUAGGCGGUUUGAUAAGUUAGAGGUGAAAUGUCCGGGCUUAACUCGGGAACUGCCUCUGAUACUGUUGAUCUAGAGAGUAGUAGCGGUAGGCAGAAUGUAUGGUGUAGCGGUGAAAUGCGUAGAGAUCAUACAGAACACCGGUUGCGAAGGCAGCUUAC
rnacentral:rRNA from 1 species